rnacentral:lncRNA from 1 species
UCGGAUGGACAAGGUCUUAUAGCUAAGCUCGACGAUAGUGAGAAGUAAGGAAAAAACAUCUCGCAAAGCCAAGAAUAAGCAUUUGGCAAGGCAGAAAAUAAACAUCCAACGAAUAAGGCCAGGAAAGACUCCUUUUGCAAGAGCACACACGUCUGGCUAUUUGCCUGUCGAUUUUCAAGGAAAGAUGAAUCCAAAAUGCC